UACGUAGGGUGCGAGCGUUGUCCGGAAUUAUUGGGCGUAAAGAGCUUGUAGGCGGUUUGUCGCGUCUGCUGUGAAAAUCCGGGGCUCAACCCCGGACUUGCAGUGGGUACGGGCAGACUAGAGUGUGGUAGGGGAGACUGAAAUUCCUGGUGUAGCGGUGGAAUGCGCAGAUAUCAGGAGGAACACCGGUGGCGAAGGCGGGUCUCUGGGCCGAUACUGACGCUGAGGAGCGAAAGCGUGGGGAGCGAACAGG
rnacentral:rRNA from 1 species